rnacentral:rRNA from 1 species
CCCAACUAUCCCUAUUAAUCAUUACGUCAAUCCUAGAAACCAACAAAAUAGGAUCGAACGUCCUAUUUCAUUAUUCCAUGCUAAUGUAUUCAAGCGUUAGCCUGCUUUAAACACUCUAAUUUUUUCAAAGUAACAGUCCAGUCUCCCCGCAACACCAAAUUAAUGGCAUUACGGUUCAUCAGGAAGGAGGAAUCAGUAAGAUCAGUACAUACCAUUGGCAUGACCAACCUACUGACCCCGAAAUUCAACUA